rnacentral:rRNA from 1 species
CGACCGGCGCACGGUGCGUAACGCGUAUGCAACCUACCUUUAACAGGGGAGUAACACUGAGAAAUUGGUACUAAUACCCCAUAAUAUCAUAGAAGGCAUCUUUUAUGGUUGAAAAUUCCGAUGGUUAGAGAUGGGCAUGCGUUGUAUUAGCUAGUUGGUGGGGUAACGGCUCACCAAGGCGACGAUACAUAGGGGGACUGAGAGGUUAACCCCCCACACUGGUACUGAGACACGGACCAG